rnacentral:rRNA from 1 species
UGAGGAAUAUUGGUCAAUGGGCGGUAGCCUGAACCAGCCAAGUAGCGUGAAGGAUGAAGGUUCUAUGGAUUGUAAACUUCUUUUAUAAAGGAAUAAAGUGAGGCACGUGUGCCUUUUGUAUGUACUUUAUGAAUAAGGAUCGGCUAACUCCGUGCCAGCAGCCGCGGUAAUACGGAGGAUCCGAGCGUUAUCCGGAUUUAUUGGGUUUAAAGGGAGCGUAGGCGGACGCUUAAGUCAGUUGUGAAAGUUUGCGGCUCAACCGUAAAAUUGCAGUUGAUACUGGGUGUCUUGAGUACAGUAGAGGCAGGCGGAAUUCGUGGUGUAGCGGUGAAAUGCUUUUAGAUAUCACGAAGAACUCCGAUUGCGAAGGCAGCCUGCUGGACUGUAACUGACGCUGAUGCUCGAAAAAGUGUGGGUAUCAAAACA